GAUGACCCAUGCAGCUCACAUCUACCCCCCCUACCAAAGUUCAGCUUGGCCACACAUUCCAAAGUUCAGCCGGGCCUUUAUGGUUUUAUGAUUCACAGGCCUUGGCUGCCCGGACACUGAGCAGAGUGAGUGAAACGGAUUCAGGAGGUAAAUCAGCAUGCAAAUCGGCCUCAUUCAACAGCUGAGGGUGUCAGGCGGGAGAGCUGGAGGAAUGUAAAUGUUUCAUGCAUGUAAAUAUAUUUUUUGCAUUAUUGCAACACCAAUAUCAAAUUGCAACAACUUACAGCCUUCUAAUUAACUGUAAUGCAAAUCCCUAACGUGGUUUAAUUGCAAGUAAAACAGAUGUGGAGUCGUGCACAAAUUAAGGUCGACCGACAUUUCAGACAUUGCCGUUGGAGAUAUGAUCCCCGUCCUACAACACUAAUCUAAAACCUUACAAUGGUUUAAUGCAGUGAUCCUCAUGCCCCAGAUAACCAGACUGAGUUGCUAAAAACACACAUCCUCUCCUCAGCAGGCCUGUGGGGGGUUGUCACAGACCCUGAUCCAUGUUCCCCCAUUAAAAUUAAUUUAAAAAUCCAGGCAUAAAAAGGCUGGCGAUUAAACGACUGGAAACGAAUAAAAAAGCAGCCAAUGUCCAAAUACCUCCAGAAAGCUUGGAGAACUGUUAAUGAAGACCACCUUCAAAGCUUACAUCCCCAGAGGAGAGCUUUGUUCUUUUACUCGUAGAACCAGCGACUGGUGCAGAACAGAGAUGCUGCCUCUGAAAAAAAGGACGCUUCUCCUGUGACCAGGCUUAUCUGUGGGGUCAUUCAACUGCUGCUCACUUGAAUUUUUUCAGUUUUGCUGAGGAAACCCUUGCUCAGGCUUCGGUCACACAGUCACCACAUUUAAACAGCAAUGCUGCUUUGGGGGUUGUUGCUAGGCGACGCAAGACCACGGCAUCUUAUUUUUAGGAGGUUUAAAAUGCAUCUCUGCGUUGAACAAAUCGAACUGUUAAGCUCCGGGUUUUUUUCCGACCAUCAGUAGCUCUGUGCGAGGUUUCUGAACAGAGAACUGCUGUGGUGUGCAGAUAACAGAGCGAAGAUAUAAAUGACCCACAACCUCAAGAAAAGCUGUUGAGAAACUUCUUUGCACAGAAAUUGUCUCAUCCUGCAACAGGCUCAGCGAGAAACACUGAAACUCGUCACACGCUGCAGCGCCGGGCUGUCGGAACCCCACAGCAGUGGUGUAAAAACCCAAACUCUGAGCUCAUACAGACAACAACCGAGCUGCUGUAAGGCCUCUGCAGAAUCGUGCAUGUCGCCGUGCUUUUACUACAGAGCAGUUAGUCAGAGGAGGGGCCAACAGUAGCUGUGGAAUCCCCUGCAGGCUCGCUUUGAUUGGAUCAGAUGGAAUAGUUGAGGCAGAGGACUUCCCUGACCCACAUGGAGAUCAGCGACCCGUUGUGAUUCAGCCAUAACUGUGACAUGUAGUCGCAGUUUCAGACCUUAUGAUGCAGAAAGGACCAUAAGCUGCAGCUUUGUAUAUAAAGCUUUAAGAGUUUAUCCAGCAAACAACGGCUGGACUUCUCUUCCCCUUCAUGUAUUUUUCUCCUUUGUUCCUAUGCUGUUAUUUAAAGUAAAACGUCAACCUUGCA